rnacentral:rRNA from 1 species
UACAGAGGGGGCAAGCGUUAUUCGGAAUUAUUGGGCGUAAAGGGCGCGUAGGCGGCGAUUCAAGUGACGGGUGAAAUCCCUCGGCUUAACCGAGGAACUGCCUGUCAGACUGGAUUGCUUGAGGCCGGGAGAGGCGAGUGGAAUUCCCAGUGUAGCGGUGAAAUGCGUAGAUAUUGGGAGGAACACCAGUGGCGAAGGCGGCUCACUGGCCCGGUACUGACGCUGAGGUGCGAAAGCGUGGGGAGCAAACAGG